UACAGAGGGUGCGAGCGUUGUCCGGAAUCACUGGGCGUAAAGGGCGCGUAGGCGGCCUGGUAAGUAGGGGGUGAAAUCCUGCGGCUCAACCGCAGGGCUGCCUCCUAAACUGUCAGGCUGGAGCACGGUAGAGGCAGAUGGAAUUCCCGGUGUAGCGGUGGAAUGCGUAGAGAUCGGGAAGAACACCAGUGGCGAAGGCGGGAUCCUGGGCCAGUACUGACGCUGAGGAGCGAAAGCGUGGGGAGCAAACAGG
rnacentral:rRNA from 1 species